GGUACCUACCGCAGUAGCCCAGCAUUUCCCCCGCCACCGCAGUACUCUCCCGACCAGCCUCAUACCUCACCGCCUCCCAGCCGGGAUUGAAGCCUGUGAGGGCGCGCGCCCUGCUGCCGGCAGCCCCAUGGGGGACCACGCCAUCACCAGUCGCCGAGUUCGCCCCCCGUCACCUACGUCCUCAAGAUUGAACACGCUUACACGCGGCGCCGCAGCGGCACCAUUCGGCAUCUGCAAGGUCAUGCAACCCUGCCUGCUGCGCCCAACUCCAAGAGGACUACCCCCUCCGCUCCUUCGCCGUGCUACGCCUGGAAGACCCGGCCUCGGCCUUCCCCGAGCAACUCGGCCUCUGCCCGCGCCGCCCACGGCCCGUGCUCACGCUGGCGCUGGCAGACUUGAGCUGCUCCGCGAUGAGUCAAGCGGCCAGGCGAGGGGGCGCACGGUGUAGAGGCAGCCAGCUUCACGGCGACCUUCAGGGUGAGUAUCACCUCGCUGCCCGGCAGGAGCAGCAGCGCCUUUGGGCCGGCGUGCUGGUGCUCCUGCUCGGCUUUACAAUCGGCCUGCUUUUCCAGAGAUUAAACUGCUGCGGGGAUGGACCGGUUCAGACCCAGGUCAAACCAAGUCAAGGCGGUGGGGUUUGGAGCAGGAGCCUGACAAGUGGGGUCUAUUAUCAGUUUCUCCAUCAAAACGCGCUUAACCGAACAAUUAGUGCAUGAGGUGACCAAUAUACCGAAAGCAGUGGCAAUUUGUAAUUUUUUUUAAAAUUUGUGGUUUUCCUAGAAGAUCGUCUCAAAUGUGAUUGUUCUAUGUAAUUUUCUCCUCCCGUUCCCCUCUUAGCUCUAAAUAAAUCAGCCCCUUCCUCAGAUCUGAGUAUCUUGCUGCUGUCCUUAGUUGAUUCGUGUGGAUCUUCUCAGUGUGAUUCAUAUGCGCCGGCGACGAUCUGAUUUCGGCUUCAGUGGUUAACUUGAAGCACUUGAAUCCUCCUUCAACCUCCAUUCCAGAGGUCCGCUAUGCGGUUUCGGGGAACAAUGGCUGAAAGUUGACUGCCAAAGCUUGGCCCGGAUCUCGUACUGGGAGCAUCUGCCCAAUUUAGGGGCUUUUGGUAUGAUUCGGCGUCGUGAAGAUUCCCUCCAUCACAGGCGGCGUCGACCACAUCUUCCUCCAAGCAACUUGCACUGGAGGCAGGAAGCUAGUCAGUUGGAUUCCUUGCAUCGACGGAGUUGGGCAGUGCUGAUGCUCGCCGGAGUCAUUCCCUGCUGCGUUCGGUGGCGAGGUUUCUCCAAGGACGCGUGUAAGUUUACUCAAGUUGAGGUGGCAGCUGGAGGGAAAGCACAAGACACGUGGUGGUUAGUCAUGUUGGCCAAGCGCCACGUACUCUACAAGGAUCUUGUUGUAAUUUAGUUAGCUUUUAAGAUCCUACAUGUAAAUCGAGCUGUACUGUUCUGUGGGGCUUGUUCCCCACCUUAAUAAUA